rnacentral:rRNA from 1 species
GACGAACCGUGCGAACGUUGUUCGGAAUCACUGGGCUUAAAGGGCGCGUAGGCGGGUCGCCAAGUCAGGGGUGAAAUACUCUGGCCUAACCGGAGAACGGCUUCUGAUACUGGCGACCUCGAGGGGUGUAGGGGCAUGUGGAACUUCCGGUGGAGCGGUGAAAUGCGUAGAUAUCGGAAGGAACGCCGGUGGCGAAAGCGACGUGCUGGACACCUUCUGACGCUGAGGCGCGAAAGCCAGGGGAGCAAACGGG